rnacentral:rRNA from 1 species
GACUCUCGGCAACGGAUAUCUCGGCUCUCGCAUCGAUGAAGAACGCAGCGAAAUGCGAUACUUGGUGUGAAUUGCAGAAUCCCGUGAAUCAUCGAGUUUUUGAACGCAAGUUGCGCCCGAGGCCUUUUGGUUGAGGGCACAUCUGCUUGGGCGUCGA